CAACAGUGUUGAAGCAGUGUC
rnacentral:siRNA from 1 species